UACGUAGGGUGCAAGCGUUAAUCGGAAUUACUGGGCGUAAAGCGUGCGCAGGCGGUUUUUUAAGCCAGAUGUGAAAUCCCCGGGCUUAACCUGGGAACUGCAUUUGGGACUGGAAGGCUAGAGUAUGGCAGAGGGGGGUGGAAUUCCACGUGUAGCAGUGAAAUGCGUAGAGAUGUGGAGGAAUACCGAUGGCGAAGGCAGCCCCCUGGGCCAAUACUGACGCUCAUGCACGAAAGCGUGGGGAGCAAACAGG
rnacentral:rRNA from 1 species